AAAGCGGGUUUGUUGAUGUACUGAAUCGGACACAUUACUUUCUAGCUGAACACUCAGCUUCAUCCACUCCAGGACAGCUGAGCGUCUGGGGCUUCAGAAGCUGAUGGCAUAGUUAUGAGAGGGGUGAAGACUGCGACUGCAUUUCCAACAGACCCUGAGGACAAUUGGGAAGAAUGCGCUGAAUAUUUUUGAGCAAUUUCUAUAUGAUAAGCAGUUUUUAGGGCAAGUAUAGGUUGCACUGAUCCUGACCUUUUGGCCUGAGGAUGGAAGUCUUCAGUAUCUGUACAACUUUACUCCCAAGAGCUGGUGUAGAAUGAGUUCCUCUGGCCAUGGGAGGAUCGCAGAGGGGCACCUGCCACCAGCAGCCCAGCCUCAGCACUUUUCUCUUCAGCGUCUUCUUCAAGGUAUUUCCAGUUGCCCGCCCUGAACUGUUUCAGAAUGAGGAGGACACCUGGAGGAAUCUACACGUGCAUAGACCAAUUUGCAAAAGAACCUGUGAGCCAACAUUAUUACCUCAGCUGGAAGAAUUAAUAAGCAACACGUUCACCCAAGAAGUAUUUACUGAGCACCUACUAUGUGCAUUAUUUUCUGGUGUUGGGGCUAGGGGGCAAACGACUCUGACAAGUCUCUGUUCUCAAGGCUGGAGUGCAGCGGCGCGAUCUCGGCUCACUGCAAGCUCCGCCUCCCGGGUUCACGCCAUUCUCCUGCCUCAGCCUCCCGAGUAGCUGGGACUACAGGCGCCCGCAACCACGCCCGGCUAAUUUUUUGUAUUUUUAGUAGAGAUGGGGUUUCACCAUGUUAGUCAGGAUGGUCUCGAUUUCCUGACCUUGUGAUCCGCCCGCCCCCGCCUCCCAAAGUGCUGGGAUUACAGGCGUGAGCCACCGCGCCCGGCCGUAGUUUACAUUUUCUAAAGCGUACUCUGCCAGCCAAGUGGCAAACAGACUUGGGCCUCUUAAGAGUGGAAGCAGGAGGAAACCCGAAGAUCCUGGAGAGAGACUGGUGGCUGGUACCAGUGGAGAGGGAGCAAAAAGGAAAAUACAGGAUACAAUUUCAGGAAAAAUUUCAUACCAAUUUCCUGAGGUAAUUUCUGAACUCGAACAUUUUCAGUGUCACCACAUUGUGUUUCCUGCUGAAUCAAGUCUACAUCACUUCGGUUUUUAAAGCCUUCCACGAUCCUUCCCUGAACACUGUAGUUUUCACUGAUGGUUGGCUGUUUCAAACUCCCAUAUGAUCCAUACUGUAUCAUUAAUAAGCAAGCAAGGAAUAACACACCCUCUGCUAUUCUGUGCAGUGUUUCAGGUUUUUAGUUUUCUCUUUCAAGAUAGAAAAUCCCUUUAGAGUAGGAACUCGGCUGGCACUUUCUUUCACAUCCUGCAUAGCACUUAGCAAAGUUCUGUACACAGGGCACAUGUGGAAAUUGCUUAUUGAUUGAUUAAAAGCAUAUAUCACUGGCAUUUGUAUCUUCAGUAUUUCUCUUGUAUGAAGAAGGGUGAUUAUCUGUCAAUAUUCAUUGCAUCAUUGAACCAAUGUACAAUGCAUUAAUCAUCACUGAAGAUAACCAGAUGAGGCUUUAUUGUAAUCUCCUUCUAUUUUGCUGAGAUAAUUUCACUUGCUUUAGAGUUUAUGAGGCCAUAAGUGGCUCCCAUCUGUUGAUGAACAUAUUUCUAAGAGUCAUUUAGUCUCAAGUAUGGAAUACUUGAGGGGAAGUUAAAUUGUAACUUUUAUAUUAAGUGUCAUCUUAGUAACAGAACCAAAAUUGGAAGCAUGUGUUCAAUUUUGGUUUUUCAUUUUCAAAGCUUUAGGUCAGGCAAAGAAUUAAUUUCAUUUGUUUACAAAGUAGAUUAUGCCUAAUAAAAUCUAUUUUGUUUAUGGUCACAUUUUAAUCAAUCCACUGCUUUAGAAAAUGAGAGAAUUCUGAUUGGCUAAUCAUUCAACAUAGUAAAUUACAUUAUUCCACAUCCACAGAACACUGGCCUAAUUGCAUUAUCCAGUAAUGAUAAAAAUAUUCCUUUUAAUACAUUUUGAGCAAGGCAUAUACCAGUGAUGAAACAGGGAAGAAUCUUGUUUAUUCCAUCCUUGUUUGAUGAUCGACCACAGAAUAUAACAUAACACUUCUGUGUAUAAGAAUUUUUUCAACAUUAAGGAUAAUAAGGACAAGGUAGUUUUCACUGGAUCCUUACUGGUACUCUGAAUUUUCACUAUUUGUCCGCAUUUCUUCUCCUUCCCGGAAAUUUGUUUUCUGCGAAAAACAAGUGCUACUUUGU
ensembl:lncRNA AQP4-AS1 AQP4 antisense RNA 1